UACGUAGGUGGCAAGCGUUUGUCCGGAAUUAUUGGGCGUAAAGCGCGUGUAGGCGGCUGAGUAAGUCUGCUCUGAAAGCCCGGGGCUCAACCCCGGGAGGCGGGUGGAUACUGCUCAGCUCGAGUCCGGAAGAGGAGUGUGGAAUUCCUGGUGUAGCGGUGAAAUGCGCAGAUAUCGGGAAGAACACCCGUGGCGAAGGCGGCUCUCUGGGACGGUACUGACGCUGAGACGCGAAAGCGUGGGGAGCGAACAGG
rnacentral:rRNA from 1 species